CUGGCGGCGUGCUUAACACAUGCAAGUCGAACGGAAAGGCCCUGCUUUUGUGGGGUGCUCGAGUGGCGAACGGGUGAGUAACACGUGAGUAACCUGCCCUUGACUUUGGGAUAACUUCAGGAAACUGGGGCUAAUACCGGAUAGGAGCUCCUGCUGCAUGGUGGGGGUUGGAAAGUUUCGGCGGUUGGGGAUGGACUCGCGGCUUAUCAGCUUGUUGGUGGGGUAGUGGCUUACCAAGGCUUUGACGGGUAGCCGGCCUGAGAGGGUGACCGGCCACAUUGGGACUGAGAUACGGCCCAGACUCCUACGGGAGGCAGCAGUGGGGAAUAUUGCACAAUGGGCGGAAGCCUGAUGCAGCAACGCCGCGUGCGGGAUGACGGCCUUCGGGUUGUAAACCGCUUUCGCCUGUGACGAAGCGUGAGUGACGGUAAUGGGUAAAGAAGCACCGGCUAACUACGUGCCAGCAGCCGCGGUGAUACGUAGGGCGCGAGCGUUGUCCGGAUUUAUUGGGCGUAAAGGGCUCGUAGGUGGUUGAUCGCGUCGGAAGUGUAAUCUUGGGGCUUAACCCUGAGCGUGCUUUCGAUACGGGUUGACUUGAGGAAGGUAGGGGAGAAUGGAAUUCCUGGUGGAGCGGUGGAAUGCGCAGAUAUCAGGAGGAACACCAGUGGCGAAGGCGGUUCUCUGGGCCUUUCCUGACGCUGAGGAGCGAAAGCGUGGGGAGCGAACAGGCUUAGAUACCCUGGUAGUCCACGCUGUAAACGGUGGGUACUAGGUGUGGGGUCCAUUCCACGGGUUCCGUGCCGUAGCUAACGCUUUAAGUACCCCGCCCUGGGGAGUACGGCCGCAAGGCUAAAACUCAAAGGAAUUGACGGGGCCCCGCACAAGCGGCGGAGCAUGCGGAUUAAUUCGAUGCAACGCGUAGAACCUUACCUGGGUUUGACAUGGAUCGGGAGUGCUCAGAGAUGGGUGUGCCUCUUUUGGGGUCGGUUCACAGGUGGUGCAUGGCUGUCGUCAGCUCGUGUCGUGAGAUGUUGGGUUAAGUCCCGCAACGAGCGCAACCCUUGUUCACUGUUGCCAGCACGUUAUGGUGGGGACUCAGUGGAGACCGCCGGGGUCAACUCGGAGGAAGGUGGGGAUGACGUCAAGUCAUCAUGCCCCUUAUGUCCAGGGCUUCACGCAUGCUACAAUGGCUGGUACAGAGAGUGGCGAGCCUGUGAGGGUGAGCGAAUCUCGGAAAGCCGGUCUCAGUUCGGAUUGGGGUCUGCAGCUCGACCUCAUGAAGUCGGAGUCGCUAGUAAUCGCAGAUCAGCAACGCUGCGGUGAAUACGUUCCCGGGGCUUGUACACACCGCCCGUCAAGUCAUGAAAGUUGGUAACACCCGAAGCCGGUGGCCUAACCGAUGUGGGGGAGCCGUCGAAGGUGGGACUGGUG
rnacentral:rRNA from 1 species